CGCUGGCGGCGUGCUUAACACAUGCAAGUCGUGCGGUAACAGGCGUAGCAAUACGUGCUGACGAGCGGCGAACGGGUGCGUAAUACAUGGGAAUCUGCCCUUUAGUGGGGAAUAACUCGGCGAAAGCCGGGCUAAUGCCGCAUAAGAUCUUCGGAUGAAAGCGGGGGAUCGUAAGACCUCGCGCUGAUGGAUGAGCCCAUGUCGGAUUAGCUAGUUGGUGAGGUAACGGCUCACCAAGGCGACGAUCCGUAGCUGGUCUGAGAGGACGGCCAGCCACACUGGGACUGAGACACGGCCCAGACUCCUACGGGAGGCAGCAGUGGGGAAUAUUGGACAAUGGGGGAAACCCUGAUCCAGCGACGCCGCGUGUGUGAAGAAGGCCUGCGGGUUGUAAAGCACUUUCAGUGGGAACGAAAUAUGCCGGGCUAAUAUCCCGGUAGGCUGACGUUACUCAACGAAGAAGCACCGGCUAACUCUGUGCCAGCAGCCGCGGUAAUACAGAGGGUGCGAGCGUUAAUCGGAAUUACUGGGCGUAAAGCGCACGUAGGUGGCGACGUAAGUCGGGUGUGAAAGCCCCGGGCUCAACCUG
rnacentral:rRNA from 1 species